GGGGUUGAGGCUCACUGGUAGAGUGCUUGCUUUGCAUGCAUGGGGCACUGGGUUCAAUCCUCAGCACCA
rnacentral:tRNA from 1 species